AACGAACGCUGGCGGCAGGCCUAACACAUGCAAGUCGAGCGCCCUUUCGGGGGAGCGGCGGACGGGUGAGUAACGCGUGGGAAUAUGCCCUUCUCUACGGAAUAGCCUCGGGAAACUGAGAGUAAUACCGUAUACGCCCUGUGGGGGAAAGAUUUAUCGGGGAAGGAUUAGCCCGCGUUGGAUUAGGUAGUUGGUAGGGUAAUGGCCUACCAAGCCGACGAUCCAUAGCUGGUUUGAGAGGAUGAUCAGCCACACUGGGACUGAGACACGGCCCAGACUCCUACGGGAGGCAGCAGUGGGGAAUCUUAGACAAUGGGGGCAACCCUGAUCGAGCCAUGCCGCGUGAGUGAUGAAGGCCUUAGGGUUGUAAAGCUCUUUCAGCUGGGAAGAUAAUGACGGUACCAGCAAAAGAAGCCCCGGCUAACUCCGUG
rnacentral:rRNA from 1 species